GCCAUCAAUAGUAGCAUUCGCCUCGGAACUCGUUGCCAGUCAGCUUUAAUUGACUUCCCUAUCUACCACCUAUUAAGAAGGCCACCACCUUCCCUCACCACUUUUUCUCCAUAUUUAAAUAGAUCUCUCCCCUCUCCCACUCCCCUACAUCUCAUCCUCUUCCUUCUCCUUUCCUUGUUCUACCCUACAGAAACCCUGCUUCUAUCAUCAUGGAUUGUCACAUCAACUUACGUUAGCCUACCAAUCAUCCCAAUCACCAUCUUAACCUGAGCUCUUACAGGCAAGUCUUCUUUCCUUCUUUUCUUAUUCAUUUUCUUAUUCUUUGUCCCUUCUUUCUCAAUUUGAGGAAUGAUAGCAUAGAUCAUCCCUGUUUCAACAACAUCACCACCACAUCUUCAAGAGCCGAGGCCACACCUUGAUGAUGAGCCCUUUCUCACGAUCACCCCACCUUCACAUCCACUCAAAUAGGAGACAGCAAGGCCAUGGCCUGACCAUUGGCUUCCCCUCUCUAUCUCCCUCUUUCUAUUCUCCUUGGGUGAUCAAACUCCUUUGUCAAGCUCUAACUCCUCUCUCUCUCUUUUUCUCUUUCCCCUAUCUCUCUCUUGUCUCCUUCUUAAGUUUUUAUGAAACCUUGGGUGGGGCCCACCUACUUGUGGUUGCAUCAUAUAACACAAGAAUAAAGGGUCCUAACCCUACUUGGAUCAAGAGAUUGUAAGUAUCCCUAAGGGCUAGAUUUGGGCUCAACAUGUGUAUUUAGGUCUUAGCCACCAACUGUCAAAUCUGGAGUCACAACCCUUGAUCUAGUAGAAUUUUGGGUCUACGAGAC
rnacentral:lncRNA from 1 species